AUCGGAAUCUGGAAAAGGGAGUUGUGUUGAUUGCCAAAGACUCCUGAUUCUCUGGCUCCAUGAUGUCAUAUUUUCUUUGGCCAUGACUAGCCAAACUAAGUUCCAUGUCAUGAGCUCGAGUAGCAAGUUCUUCAAAGGAUAAAGCCUCGCACCUUUGAAGAAUGUACAACAAAUCCCAAUGCAUGCCUUGAAUACACAUCUCUACCGCUGACAAUUCUGAGAGUUUAUCUUUGCAGUCGAGACUUAGUGUACGCCAACGAUUGAUGAACUUUACAACAGGCUCGCCGUUUUGUUGUUUGGUGUUGGUGAGCUCUAACAUACUCACCAUGUGACGUGUGCUGAAGAAUCGGUUCAAAAACUCAUUUUCCAUUUGCUCCCAGUUGUCAAUGGAUUCAAGCUCCAAGUCUGUAAACCAUUCAAAUGCCGUACCUCGGAGUGAGCGAACAAAUUGCUUCACAAGAUGAUCACUAUCGGUGCCAACGCUGUUGUAUGUUUCGAUGAAAUGUGCGAUGUGUUGCUUGGGGUUACUUUUGCCAUCAAAUUGUUGAAACUUAGGAGGUUGGUAACCAAUUGGCAUUCUCAAAUUGUCUAGCCGCUUGGUGUAAGGCUUGGAAUACGUUAGUGUAUCUCGAGACGUACCACCAUAUUGAGCUUUGAUUGUCUUGGCAAUCAUGUCUUAAAGUUGUUAAACUGACAAUGAAGGUAGGAUGGAAUUUGAUUCUCCUUUUUGCUCGGAAGAUGAUCCACCAGAUGUGUCUUUCUUAUCGCCAUGAAGGUUAUUCUUCGAGUCAUUUUCAUGGUGAACUUUUAGCUUCUCCAUGAGCAAUGCAAUUUCUACAUCCUUCUCUUCAAUGGUCUUUUGGAGCUUCUUCACCGCUUCAGUCAACUGGGCUAUUUGGGCCGCUUGUUCUUCCACGUUGAUCACUCCUAUCACCAUGACUUGCAUGGCUCAAGAGUUGUCUUCUAGAAUCGCUUCAAUUUGAUUGUCAAGAGGCAAUUCCAAGUGUGGACAUAUCUUCAAAUCAACUUUGGUUGUGGGCGAAGGAGAAUGUUUCCUCGAGUUGCCUGUCGAUGUUGAACGUCUUUGCUUCAUGAGGUUUGCCCCCAUUGUUGUCCAAGCGUCGAUCGGUUGAAACUAUUUUGAGGAAUGAAGGUUGAAUGUUGUGAGUUGAAAUGACUUACUGUGAGCAACAUGACCGCUAAGGUUUCUACUGCUUUUCAGAGUAACUACCUUGUUGGUCUUGUUUUUCGAUUUGAUUUGCACCAUCUUUGAAGCCAUGUGAUGAGGAUGGCGAGAUUGUCGGAAGAGGAGAUGAUUGAGAGGCAGAGAUGGUCCACUGGGCGUGCCAAUUUUGUAAACACGAAAAUUCUUGUAACGAAUAACAUGUAGAAAGACACGUGUACAAAAUAAUAUAUUUGUAUUGAUUGA